GGUGAACGUUGGCGGCGUGGAUUAGGCAUGCAAGUCGAGCGAGAACCGUAGCAAUACGGGGACAGCGGCGAAAGGGACAGUAAUGUGUAGGUACCAACCUCCGGGUUCGGGAUAGCUGCGGGAAACUGCAGGUAAUACCGAAUAACGUCUCCGGACCAAAGGUGUGAUUCCACCUGGAGAGGGGCCUGCAUCCUAGUAGCUUGUUGGCGGGGUAACGGCCCACCAAGGCGACGAUGGGUAGCGGGUGUGAGAGCACGACCCGCCUCAUUGGGACUGGGACACUGCCCAGACACCUACGGGUGGCUGCAGUCGGGAAUCUUCGGCAAUGGGCGCAAGCCUGACCGAGCGACGCCGCGUGCGGGAUGAAGGCCUUCGGGUUGUAAACCGCUGUCGUAGAGGAGGAAAUGCAGGGGGGUUCUCCCCUCUGUUUGACCUAUUCUAGGAGGAAGUACGGGCUAAGUUCGUGCCAGCAGCCGCCGUAA
rnacentral:rRNA from 1 species